rnacentral:rRNA from 1 species
UACGAAGGGGGCUAGCGUUGCUCGGAAUUACUGGGCGUAAAGGGCGCGUAGGCGGAUAGUUUAGUUGGGGGUGAAAGCCCGGGGCUCAACCUCGGAAUUGCCUUCAAUACUGGCUGUCUUGAGUGUGAGAGAGGUGUGUGGAACUCCGAGUGUAGAGGUGAAAUUCGUAGAUAUUCGGAAGAACACCAGUGGCGAAGGCGACACACUGGCUCACUACUGACGCUGAGGCGCGAAAGCGUGGGGAGCAAACAGG